rnacentral:lncRNA from 1 species
CGCAGCUUAAUAUUUACAUGUCGUCUUUGCGUGUAUUUUUGUCAUUCUGAGAGUAAGUCCAUAUAAUGAACAGAACAUUAAAUGGUAGCGAGAAGAUAUGGAUUUAUGUUCUCGUGUCAAAAACAAUAUCUCACUAGUACUCGUUCGCUGCGCUCACUCGUGAUAUAUUAAUUGUUUUUCCCACUUGAACAUAAAAUCCAUAUCUCCUCGCAACCGUCUAAUAUCCAGUAUUUAGUACUUUUGCACAUGUGAACAUAACAAAUCCUGCACAUUGAUUGGUCAAAUUUGACCUAUUAAGCUGUUAUAUUCACCUACAGGUGAAUAUAACAAAACCGAACUUUUCAAAAUGGCGGCUAGCCGUUUUGUGGAAGUUAUUGAUGAAAGAAUACGCGGAAUUAAAAUAAAUUCAGUCCCAAAAACAUAAAAGACUUCUGUAAAAAUACUAAAACAAUUAUUCGCCUCAGGCUCGGUGAUUAUCGGGGAAUAUUCACCUCGACUUCGUCUUGGCGAAUAUUCCCCGACAAUCACCUCGCCUUCGGCGAAUAAUUGUUAAAUAUGGGCAAAUUCAAUAUAUAUAUAGGCCAUUUCCGAAUUUCGAUAGAAUGCCCGUGCACCCUGCUAAGCUAAAUUGUAUAAUGUCUCUGUAGCAAAUUAGAAACUGGGAAAUGGUCUAUUUACUUCAAAGUGUAUAUGACAUGAAAUUUCUUAUUUUCUAAAUGAAAGAACUCUUUAAGCUGUAGUGUAACUUAUUUUUCAGUUUCUUGUUUUUUGUGGUUUGUUCCCGAGAUAUUUCAAUUUGUUUGAUAUGUAAAUGAGUGUGAAUAUGUCCGCUAAUUUAUGACGUCACAUUUGUUGCAAGCUCGACUUACGCAUGGUUAUAAAUCUAUUUUCUCCAGUGUUUCAUGAUAUUUACCAGUGUGUGAAGUUUGAUAUUAUCAUCUUGGAUGAUAGCAGUGAUAUUCAACUAUUUUGAGGAGCUAGAAACCAAUGUGACGUCAUAAAUUAGCGGACAUAUUCACAUCAUUUACAUAUCAGACAAAUUGAAUAAUCUCGGGAACAAACAAUAACAACAAAAGUUCUUUCAUUCAAGAAAAUAAGAAAUUUCAUGUCAUAUACACUUUAAUGCACCUGUUGUGAUGGUAUAACGCGCAGUGCAAGUAGUAACGCCAUAUAUAUUUUUGUAUAUUUGAAGACGCUUCGUCCAUCAUUGAAGAAACUUGCAAAGGAAAUCUUGUCCCUGCCUAUUCAAUCUGGCAAACAUUCUUCGGUAAGCGCAUAUGCACCCAACUAUUCAUAAUGACCUAAAGAUAAAAGUCUUAUAUUAAUGAAAAUUAUAGUUAACAUUUAGUUCGUCCAGGAGCCACGAUAGCUUGGCAACCUCAUGCCAGGCUUUCUUUUGCGCGGUUUUGGUAAGUACAUUUAUCGAAUUGUGUUGAAAAUAUGGUCGUAUAAGCUCUAAAAAUAUCAAGAGUGAUUCUUUGAUGUAUACAAAUUGUGUACAAAAUAAACUUGAAAUUGAGACUAAUUUAUGAAAAGAAAGCUUGCAGAAAGACUUUCGGCCUAAUUGUGGUGCAUAUUCCCGCGUGUAAUACAAAUGAAUACAAAAUUUCGCAGGGCUAUAUUUUCCGCAUUU